CCCGCGCGCCGCGCUCCCCAGCGCCGGACUGCGGUACUGCAGCGCCCCUCGCGCCGCGGCGCCCCUCCCCCCCAUCGCGGGGCGGUGGUGCGGUCCGUGCCGCGCGCCCCCCGCAGCGGCGCUGUGGUGUGGCCCAGCGGGACCGCCAUUUUGUGCGGGCCCUGAGGGGAUGGUGGGGGGAGGGCUUGGGGGUCUGAGAGGGCUUAACUAACCGUAAUGAUUCCGUGACUCUGUGACAUUGAGCCCCCCCGUCGCCCUGGGCUGUGUCCCUACAGCCGGUCCCGCUGGCGUUUUGGGGUCCUCUCCCCCCCAUGAGGCCACACAGCCAUGCAGAAACCACACUGGGCCUGCCUGAGGUACGCACCACAACUUCACUUUUAUUGAGUCAAGGUCAUCCAGGGGUUGGUUUUCGUUUUUUUAGCACUUAAAAAAUUACAUAAAAAGUCUGUAAACAGCCACAGGAGUGGUAAGGCAAACAGAGAAACAGCCCCAUCGCCACAUAACCCCACUGCCAGGGCACCGUGCGACCCCACCUCCACACAUGGCACCAUGAGGAAGCCCAGCAGCCCCAUAGGGCAGGGCUUUGAUCCGGGCAGGCCAGGGGGACAGAAAACUGAGCAGCAUCUCUGGUUGCCUGCACUCCUGUGAAGACACAACACGCAUCCUAUCCUGCAGCCUGGCUCCAGCAUACACCAGUGCAGUCUUGGCUGAGCCUGGUUUGUACGCAGGCAUCCAACAAGUACCCCAGCCCUGCGUGCCUGGGCUCUCCUUCCUGCUCAGAACCAUGCUGUGGAGAUAGCUGAGGUGAUACAAACAGUGGCGAUGCAGACAGGAGGUUUGCUGGAGCCUUUUCAUGUGAAAAGCAGAAGGCGCAGAGGCUGGAGCUAUCCUGGAGGAGGCUGGAGGGACACAAUACUUCACACAGUCCCCAAAAACAAUUUAUUUGGGAUUUCCUUCUCAUUCUCUGUCUGGAUUUCCUCAUCUCACCUCAGAGAUUACAGAGCAGAUUCUGGGAAGAAAUGUGCAUUUAGAUGAAAAGCCCUUCCCAGAGCUGUGCCAGCACUGCCUGGGAGCUGCGGAAUGCGAGAGCCAGGCUGAAGCCACCUUUUGUCAGAGCACACCCAUACACCACAAGCACUGUAGGGGAGAGGAUGAACGCCACCAGCAAACUGUACCCGCAGGCCAUCCUCCCACCCACUGUUGGUUGGUUACAUAGGGAAAGGAACAUGGCAAGGACUGCAUCAACGUGUCACCAUUCAUCUUCCCACCGUCACAGGCUGGGCCAUGUCCCAUGUCUGCCAAGCACUGCUUCGAGACCAUACACGAGGACAUGUGAACACCAAUCUCUCCCGACCCAGGGAUUUAGAAGCCAAAGACCAAGGGACCUUGAAGUCUCAACAGGAGCAGUUGGCCGCUGGGAUUUAACUUGCCCCAAGCCUCAUCUGCAGCUGUGAGAACUUCUAUACCCAAAGAAACGAUCAAGAAGCAGAAAUGAAACUAUUGGGAAAGGCUAAGGAGGAACACCCAAGAGCAGCACCAGCCACAGCACAAAUAAGCAUGGGAACAACAUAAAAUGGAUUAAUACUGACUGCUUUAUCCCCAGAGCGUCCCUUAAAAACCUACACCUGGCCCACUCCUUGGCCAUGCACUCCAGAAGAAGAGGAUUUGAAAUUAAAAGCUUGGUUCUA